GGCGCACAUGUGGUUACUCAGCGCGAGCAGAGUGGUGGCUGGUGAGGAUGAGGAGGUGGCACAGCCGGAGUGCAGGGCUGGGAGCCUGCGGGCAGCCCUCAGGACACCUCACCAAGAGCUGUGUGCACCUGCAGCCGCACGAUGUCAGGCCAGACACUCGCGUCAGGACGGAUGGAGCCCUCAGGCUGGAGGGGCUCGGCGCUCUCAGGCCUCCCAGCGGGGCAGGGCACAGAUGCUUCAAGAAUGCUCGUUAUCCUGUUCUCAAAGCGUGGUAAAUGUUGAUACACACAAGCACAGCUCACAGUGUCCUCAACACCUUUCCAGUGUAUCCAGGACCCUGAGAGACAGAGUUAAGAACCGCUGCCACCCCCACUUCUGCCCGGUUAACCAGGCUCCUUGGAGAAGCAGCCAGUUCCAGAUGUGGAGACAAGUGCGAGACUGCUGGUGACUAUAUAACAUCCAGCUGAAGACUAGCAGGGGGGUACUCUUUCUGCCCCCUUCUGAUGCCUAUGUCAGAAGCUUUCUCUAUCUCCUUUAUACUUUAAUAAAA
ensembl:lncRNA